rnacentral:lncRNA from 1 species
CAGGCCCUCCCACUCCCUGUAAUAUCUGGCUGAGGUGUGAAUGGCUGACUCCAGCAGGGCGCUGGGGCAGAGACCACGUCCUAAACCCAACUCAAAUGUGGGCUGUGCUCUUGGCUGAAGAAAAGCAUGGAAAGCAGUUGGGGACCUGCAUCCCCAAGACUGUCAGCCCUUCUCCAGGGCUAGCAACAAGCAGAGUGUAGCAGUGAGAAGAUGCUCUUGGCAGGCUCCAGAUAGCUGUGCCCUCAGCCCAGGAGGACUCAGCCAAUGAAGACUCAGCUAAUGAAAGCUCAGCAUGGAGGUGGCAAAGGGCUGCAGCCCCACCAAACUCUUUGCCUCCAGGCGCUGUGGUGGUGAAGAACUGAAAUACACAAACCUUGGGGCUUCCCCUUGUCCCUGAAACUGCAGAAGAUGCUGGCUCGGGAGAGCCCAGGUGAGAAAGCUGCUGCAGGAGCCAGAAACUUUGGCAAAGACUCUUUCUUUGCAAGUAAGAAAGCUAGUUGGGAAAGAGGACCAACUGUUCCUUCUAAAUUCCCAGGGAGUGGAGGGUACGUGAGGCCCUGUGAUUCAUUGGCCAGGAGUAUCUGCUCCAGCUGCCAGGCCAGAGUGAUCAAUCCAAAAGUGCUUCUGAAAAUGAGGCCAGACCCACAUUAAUGAAGCCUGAUUGCCUCAGAAUUAUUGUCGGAUUAAUUAGCAGCUUUGCCAGUAGCCCAUGUGUUCAGGGUCAGUAACAAUUUAUGGUGAGUCACAUUUAAGUAAUUUCAUUCAAUUUAACCAGCAUUUGCUGCACCUACUAAGCACAGAGUUUUAGGCAAACCUAAUGUAAGAACAGGGUCUGAACUGGACUUCCAAUGCCAAGGAUUCUAGGCCUAGAUCUGCCGUAUACAAGUCAUUUACCAGUAGGAAAAAAAUCACUUUGUCUUUCUGGCCUCAGUUUCCCCAUUUGUAAAAAAAAAAAAAAAAAGGUGGGAUGGAAUUGACUCAAUAGUUGGUCAGUUUUCUCCAAUAUCAGUGAGGUAGGAGGUGGAGCUCUACUCCAGAGACAGGGCUUGGACACCAGAUCAGAUUGAGGAGUAGCUAAAAAUGGGCCAGGGUGAAAGCAGCUUUAAAUCAGACACACCCACCAGUGUGUCAUGUCAAUUUACUGUUGGCAUGGCAACACCUAGGAAUUACUGCCCUUUUCCAUGGCAAUGACCCAAUGACUCAAAAGUUAGUACCCUUUCCCUAGAAAUUUCUGCAUAAACUGCCUCUUAAUCUUCAUGCAAUUAAAAGUGGGUAUAAAUAUGACUGCAAAACUGUCCUGAGCUACUACUCUCUGCCUAUGAGGCAGCCCUGCUCUGCAGGAGCAGUCACGGAGCUAUAACACUGCCUCUUCAAUACAGCUGUUUUCUUCUACCUCUGGCUUGCCCUUGGAUUCCUUCCUGUGCAAAGCCAAGAACCCUCACAGGCUCCAUGUUGGGGCUUGCUUUUUGAGAGCCUGAAAUGUAAAAUUAGAUAAGACACAUACAUACAAAAGGAAAAUUCAUUAAUUCCAUGAAUGUGUUUAUCCACAAAUAUUUACUGAUCAGUUCCUACUAGGUUCCAGACACUAUACAAAAUAAUGUAAGAUAAGCUUACCUUCAAACACAUACAGUCUACUGGGGAAGACCAUGAACAAAUGCACAGUUGGAGCAUAGGCACAGAGCAGGGAGCUUUUGAAUUAGAGGGAGGGUAGCAAAGUUGUGCCAGAGGAAGUAACAUCGUACUGAGAAAUAAAAAAGAGAUGAAAGGCAUCUCAUCAAAGAGUAUAGAAUUUAAUAAGACAUAGAGUCAUGAUAAAAGUAUGUUGGGGGAAUGAAGGUGUAUUCUGUGAGAAUAAUAACGAAUGUGGCAGGAAAACUGCAUGAGAGCUAGGUUAUAGGAGAACAUUUUGUUUGGAAUUAAAUUCUGGAAGCCAAGUGAAUCUACUGAAGGAAUAUGACAUGACAUGGUCAGAUUUUGAUUCUACGGUAGUCUAGAAGCAGAGAGGAAGAUAAAUUGUUGAGGGAAGAUGUUAAAGACAAAGAAGCCCAUCAGGAGGCUUCUACAAUUAUCUAGACAAGGGAUGGUGCUGAUCUCACCUAAGACAGUAAAGCUAGAGAGAAUAAAGGUGAUACAAGCAAUGUUUCAAUAGCGGAUAUUGUAAUUCUUGGUGACUGAUUAAAUAUGGGAGAUCCAUAGUGUUG